rnacentral:lncRNA from 1 species
GAUAUUGCAUAAGACUUUACUCUGCCUCAUUUAUCAGCUCCAUCCUCCCAGGUCUGCCUCUACAGCAGAACACCCUAGUCCUCAUUUAUUUCUUUGCUAAAAUGUAAUAUUUUCCAUUGGUGUUUUAAAAGUAAUUUCAUACCCCUUGCUAGAUAUAGUGGUUUAAAUGAAAAUGCCCCCCCCCCAUAGGCUCAUAGGGAGUGGCACUAUUAGAAGACUCUCAGCUACAUCUCCAGCACCAUGUCUACCUGUGUGCUGCCAUGCUUCUUGUCAUGAUGAAAAUGGACUAAACCUCUGAACCGCAACCAGGUCUUCUCCUUUGUGCUACAAAAAAAGUUUCAAACUGACCACAUAUGCAUCCUUCCUGGAGAAUCCAAAAACAGAAAGGUAAUUCAGUCCGGCCUCAGAGAAGAGAAUACUGGAGAAAGCCCGCCCUCUGCUGGUCGAGAGUUGGAGACGGCGCGUGUACAGUACAGAUCCUGCCACCUCCCACCCAGCAGUGCUGCAUCUGCCCUGCUCCCUCACCCUCUGAUUUAGCCUUCCCAGCAGCAUCUUGAAAGUACGACUGAACUCCCAACAGCUUAGUCCUUCCAGAUCCUGUCAUUUUUGUUUAGUAUUGAUUUUUAGCAAAGUCUGAUCGACUCUGUCACUUAUUUUUUUUUAAAAUUGUAGAAGUGUAACUUUAAUUUCUUCAAAGCCUAUUUAUAAUGAUGGUUCUUAAAUACUUUAACCCACCACCCACCAGAAAUAGUGGAAAAGAAAGGAUACAGAGAAGUGGACCUGUUUAGAAAUGGUUCUUUGGAGCAAAUCCUGUCUGUCUCGUGAGGAAAUCAGCAGCGGCAUCUCGAUCCACUCACAAAGACUUCAGAGAUAUACCAGUAGUCCAGUUCAGUGGUAUCAGGAUAGCAUCAGCAGUGGCAUAACCUAGCAGGAACAGCCAGGCCUCCAUUGAAUCGGCAAGAGUCCGCAGGAGGUAUUCAGACCAGCAGGGACACCAGGAGAAGUUCUCCACUAUGCCUCUCUUGACAAAGGGAAGAGCAGUGAAGACUGGAAACCAACAAGGGCUGCACAGCUGGCAUUACCAGCAAGGCUCAAGCUUAGCCAGGCCAAGCCUCCAGUUCCUCUCACAGUCCAGAGUCCUUUAAUACUUCCUCCAAGCAUUACAUGUCCUCCACGUGUCUUACCUCAGCAUGUGAGUCUGAAAAUACAGUGAGGCAGACCAAUACAUGUGUGCCAUUAUCGAACAAACCUUCAUCACAUGUCCUUUCAUGGGCUUGCUUUAGCAGAACAACCUUUAACAUGUGUCCACCUCAGUGAAACAUUCCUUCACGUGUUUGCCUCAGCAAAACACCAUCCAACACAACUGACUUUCCAAAGAAUUCUUAAGUUUCCACUUCAGAGAAGUCCUUUAUAUUUUCCUCAUAAAAUGAUUCUGUAUUAUAUCUGAAUAAAAUAGUAACUUUUCUUAUU